UACACUCCUGCGGGAGGCAGCAGUGGGGAAUUUUGGACAAUGGGCGAAAGCCUGAUCCAGCAAUGCCGCGUGCAGGAUGAAGGCCUUCGGGUUGUAAACUGCUUUUGUACGGAACGAAAAAGCUCCUUCUAAUACAGGGGGCCCAUGACGGUACCGUAAGAAUAAGCACCGGCUCACUCCGUGCCAGCAGCCGCGGUAAUACGUAGGGUGCGAGCGUUAAUCGGAAUUACUGGGCGUAAAGCGUGCGCAGGCGGUUAUGUAAGACAGAUGUGAAAUCCCCGGGCUCAACCUGGGAACUGCAUUUGUGACUGCAUGGCUAGAGUACGGUAGAGGGGGAUGGAAUUCCGCGUGUAGCAGUGAAAUGCGUAGAUAUGCGGAGGAACACCGAUGGCGAAGGCAAUCCCCUGGACCUGUACUGACGCUCAUGCACGAAAGCGUGGGGAGCAAACAGGAUUAGAAACCCUGGUAGUCC
rnacentral:rRNA from 1 species